rnacentral:rRNA from 1 species
CGCACGGGUGAGUAACACGUGGGUAAUCUGCUCUGGAGUGGGGAAUAACACCGGGAAACCGGUGCUAAUACCGCAUACGAUCACAGAGUCUGCGGAUUUUGUGACUCUAGGAGCAAUUCGCUCUUGGAGGAGCCCGCGGCUGAUUAGCUAGUUGGUGAGGUAACGGCUCACCAAGGCAACGAUCAGUAUCCGGUCUGAGAGGACGGCCGGACACACUGGAACUGAGACACGGUCCAGACUCCUACGGGAGGCAGCAGUGGGGAAUUUUUGGCAAUGGGGGCAACCCUGACCAAGCAACGCCGCGUGGGUGAUGAAGUCUCUUGGGACGUAAAACCC